GUGUCAGCAGCCGCGGUAAUACGGAGGAUGCAAGCGUUAUCCGGAUUCAUUAGGUAUAAAGGGUGCGUAGGCGGAUUUGUAAGUCAGUGGUGAAAUACUAUAGCUUAACUAUAGAACUGCCAUUGAUACUGCAAGUCUUGAGUACAAUUGAGGUAGGCGGAAUGUGUGGUGUAGCGGUGAAAUGCUUAGAUAUCACACAGAACACCGAUUGCGAAGGCAGCUUACUAAACUGUAACUGACGCUGAUGCACGAAAGCAUGGGGAGCAAACAGGAUUAGAUACCCGCGUAGUCC
rnacentral:rRNA from 1 species